AUGAUUUUACCAGGUGCACAACCCUUCUAACCUUCAUUUCCCUCAUUUGUCAAAAGGGAACAAGUAAGUCCUGCUCUCUCCACCUCAAAGGGGUUGUGAGAAUCCAGUGACAGAAUAUGGAGAAAAGGCCCUUUGUGAUGAGAAAGUAACAAGUAAAGCUACUAUAAAAUGGGAAUAAUGGUAUUUGAAGAAUCUAAGACCUGGACACACUGCACAGCAGGAUGGAAAUUCC
rnacentral:lncRNA from 1 species